UACGUAGGGGGCAAGCGUUGUCCGGAAUCAUUGGGCGUAAAGAGCGUGUAGGCGGCCAGAAAAGUCCGCUGUGAAAACCUCGAGGCUCAACUUCGAGCUGUCGGUGGAAACUUUCUGGCUAGAGUCCGGAAGAGGAGAAUGGAAUUCCUGGUGUAGCGGUGAAAUGCGCAGAUAUCAGGAAGAACACCCGUGGCGAAGGCGGUUCUCUGGGACGGUACUGACGCUGGAGAACGCGAAAGCGUGGGGAGCGAACAGG
rnacentral:rRNA from 1 species